UAGGGAAUCUUCGGCAAUGGGGGGCAACCCUGACCGAGCAACGCCGCGUGAGUGAAGAAGGUUUUCGGAUCGUAAAACUCUGUUGUAAGAGAAGAACGUGUGUGAGAGUGGAAAGUUCACACAGUGACGGUAACUUACCAGAAAGGGACGGCUAACUACGUGCCAG
rnacentral:rRNA from 1 species